AAUCCAUAGGUUAAUGAGGCGAACCGGGGGAACUGAAACAUCUAAGUACCCCGAGGAAAAGAAAUCAACCGAGAUUCCCCCAGUAGCGGCGAGCGAACGGGGAGGAGCCCAGAGCCUGAAUCAGCAUGUGUGUUAGUGGAAGCGUCUGGAAAGGCGCGCGAUACAGGGUGACAGCCCCGUACACAAAAGCGCAUGUGCUGUGAGCUCGAUGAGUAGGGCGGGACACGUGGUAUCCUGUCUGAAUAUGGGGGGACCAUCCUCCAAGGCUAAAUACUCCUGACUGACCGAUAGUGAACCAGUACCGUGAGGGAAAGGCGAAAAGAACCCCGGCGAGGGGAGUGAAAAAGAACCUGAAACCGUGUACGUACAAGCAGUGGGAGCACCCUUUGGGUGUGACUGCGUACCUUUU
rnacentral:rRNA from 4 species